rnacentral:rRNA from 1 species
UGACCUCCAAUCAGGUAGGACUACCCGCUGAACUUAAGCA